rnacentral:rRNA from 1 species
AUUGAACGCUGGCGGCAGGCCUAACACAUGCAAGUCGAGCGGAUGAAGGGAGCUUGCUCCUGGAUUCAGCGGCGGACGGGUGAGUAAUGCCUAGGAAUCUGCCUGGUAGUGGGGGAUAACGUCCGGAAACGGGCGCUAAUACCGCAUACGUCCUGAGGGAGAAAGUGGGGGAUCUUCGGACCUCACGCUAUCAGAUGAGCCUAGGUCGGAUUAGCUAGUUGGUGGGAUAAAGGCCUACCAAGGCGACGAUCCGUAACUGGUCUGAGAGGAUGAUCAGUCACACUGGAACUGAGACACGGUCCAGACUCCUACGGGAGGCAGCAGUGGGGAAUAUUGGACAAUGGGCGAAAGCCUGAUCCAGCCAUGCCGCGUGUGUGAAGAAGGUCUUCGGAUUGUAAAGCACUUUAAGUUGGGAGGAAGGGCAGUAAGUUAAUACCUUGCUGUUUUGACGUUACCAACAGAAUAAGCACCGGCUAACUUCGUG